rnacentral:rRNA from 1 species
CAGUCGAACGGACUCAUAUUGAAACCUAGUGAUUUAUGAGUUAGUGGCGGACGGGUGAGUAACGCGUGGAUAACCUACCGUAUACCGGGGGAUAACACUUAGAAAUAGGUGCUAAUACCGCAUAAGCGCACGGCUCCGCAUGGGGCAGUGUGAAAAACUCCGGUGGUAUACGAUGGAUCCGCGUCUGAUUAGCUAGUUGGCGGGGUAACGGCCCACCAAGGCAGCGAUCAGUAGCCGGCCUGAGAGGGUGGACGGCCACAUUGGGACUGAGACACGGCCCAAACUCCUACGGGAGGCAGCAGUGGGGAAUAUUGCACAAUGGGGGAAACCCUGAUGCAGCGACGCCGCGUGAGUGAAGAAGUAUCUCGGUACGUAAAGCUCUAUCAGCAGGGAAGAAAAUGACGGUACCUGACUAAGAAGCCCCGGCUAACUACGUGCCAGCAGCCGCGGUAAUACGUAGGGGGCAAGCGUUAUCCGGAUUUACUGGGUGUAAAGGGAGCGUAGACGGCAGCACAAGUCUGGAGUGAAAUCCCGGGGCUUAACCCCGGAACUGCUUUGGAAACUGUGCGGCUGGAGUGCAGGAGGGGUAAGCGGAAUUCCUAGUGUAGCGGUGAAAUGCGUAGAUAUUAGGAGGAACACCGGUGGCGAAGGCGGCUUACUGGACUGUAACUGACGUUGAGGCUCGAAAGCGUGGGGAGCAAACAGGAUUAGAUACCCUGGUAGUCCACGCCGUANACGAUGAUUACUAGGUGUCGGGGNAUCAAGGUCCUCCGGUGCCGGCGCAAACGCAUUAAGUAAUCCACCUGGGGAGUACGUUCGCAAGAAUGAAACUCA